rnacentral:misc_RNA from 1 species
UCGAAGGAAUGGAGACAGUUGCUAAGGGAGUUGACAUUUGCUGUGUAUGCCGACACAAACAUGGUGUCUGCAUAAAGUGUAGCUAUGGUCACUGCCAAGCCACAUUUCAUCCCUCCUGCGCUAGAAGUACUGGUUUUUACAUGAAUGUAAAGUCUCUUAAUGGCAAAUUGCAUCACAAGGCAUAUUGUGAAAGGCAUGGCUUGGAACAGAGGGCAAAGGCUGAAUCUCAAAAACAUGGAGUCGAGGAGCUUAAGAGCAUGAAGCAAAUCAGGGUUGAACUGGAGAGGUUACGUCUUCUUUGCGAGAGAAUUAUUAAACGUGAAAAAAUAAAGCGGGAUUUG